rnacentral:rRNA from 1 species
GAUGAACGCUGGCGGCGUGCCUAAUACAUGCAAGUCGAGCGAACGGACGAGAAGCUUGCUUCUCUGAUGUUAGCGGCGGACGGGUGAGUAACACGUGGAUAUCCUACCUAUAAGACUGGGAUAACUUCGGGAAACCGGAUCUAAUACCGGAUGAUAUUUUGAACCGCAUGGUUCAAAAGUGAAAGACGGUCUUGCUGUCACUUAUAGAUGGAUCCGCGCUGCAUUAGCUAGUUGGUAAGGUAACGGCUUACCAAGGCAACGAUGCAUAGCCGACCUGAGAGGGUGAUCGGCCACACUGGAACUGAGACACGGUCCAGACUCCUACGGGAGGCAGCAGUAGGGAAUCUUCCGCAAUGGGCGAAAGCCUGACGGAGCAACGCCGCGUGAGUGAUGAAGGUCUUCGGAUCGUAAAACUCUGUUAUUAGGGAAGAACAUAUGUGUAAGUAACUGUGCACAUCUUGACGGUACCUAAUCAGAAAGCCACGGCUAACUACGUG